rnacentral:rRNA from 1 species
AACGAACGCUGGCGGCAUGCCUAACACAUGCAAGUCGAACGAGACCUUCGGGUCUAGUGGCGCACGGGUGCGUAACGCGGGGGAACCUGCCCUUAGGUUCGGAAUAACUCCCCGAAAGGGGUGCUAAUACCGGAUAAUUUCUUCUGACCAAAGAUUUAUCGCCCUUGGAUGGGCCCGCGUUGGAUUAGCUAGUUGGUAUGGUAAAAGCCUACCAAGGCGACGAUCCAUAGCUGGUCUGAGAGGAUGAUCAGCCACACUGGGACUGAGACACGGCCCAGACUACUACGCGAGGCAGCAGUGGGGAAUAUUGGACAAUGGGCGAAAGCCUGAUCCAGCAAUGCCGCGUGAGUGAUGAAGGCCUUAGGGUUGUAAAGCUCUUUUACCCGGGAUGAUACUGACAGUACCGGGAGAAUAAGCACCGGCUAACUUCGUG